rnacentral:rRNA from 1 species
ACGGAAGGCAGCAGUGGGGAAUAUUGCACAAUGGGGGAAACCCUGAUGUAGCGACGCCGCGUGAAGGAAGAAGUAUCUCGGUAUGUAAACUUCUAUCAGCAGGGAAGAAAGUGACGGUACCUGACUAAGAAGCCCCGGCUAACUACGUGCCAGCAGCCGCGGUAAUACGUAGGGGGCAAGCGUUAUCCGGAUUUACUGGGUGUAGAGGGAGCGUAGACGGCAAGACAAGUCUGAAGUGAAAGGCAUGGGCUCAACCUGUGGACUGCUUUGGAAACUGCCUUGCUUGAGUGCCGGAGGGGUAAGCGGAAUUCCUAGUGUAGCGGUGAAAUGCGUAGAUAUUAGGAGGAACACCAGUGGCGAAGGCGGCUUACUGGACGGUAACUGACGUUGAGGCUCGAAAGCGUGGGGAGCAAACAGGAUUAGAUACCCUGGUA